GUGCUCGCUUCGGCAGCACAUAUGCUAAAAAAAAUUGGAACGAUACAGAGAAGAUUAGCAUGGCCCCUGCGCAAGGAUGUUUUGUAAAACAGAUAUAAUGAAUUACCAAUA
ensembl:snRNA U6 U6 spliceosomal RNA